UACGUAGGUGACCAGCGUUGUCCGGAUUUACUGGGCGUAAAGAGCGCGCAGGCGGUCGUUCAAGUCGAGUGUGAAAGCCCCCGGCUCACUGGGAGGGUCACUCGAUACUGAUCGACUUGAAGGCAGGAGAGGGAAGCGGAAUUCCCGGUGUAGUGGUGAAAUGCGUAGAUAUCGGGAGGAACACCAGUGGCGAAGGCGGACUCCGUGG
rnacentral:rRNA from 1 species